rnacentral:tRNA from 1 species
AGUUAAUGAGCUUGAAUAAGCAUAUAUUUUGAAAAUAUAAGAUAAAAUCUUUUUUAUUAGCUU